UACGUAGGGUGCGAGCGUUAAUCGGAAUUACUGGGCGUAAAGCGUGCGUAGGCGGUCUGUCGCGUCUGGUGUGAAAAUCCAGGGCUUAACCCUGGACCUGCAUCGGGUACGGGCAGACUAGAGUGCGGUAGGGGAGAUCGGAAUUCCUGGUGUAGCGGUGAAAUGCGCAGAUAUCAGGAGGAACACCGGUGGCGAAGGCGGAUCUCUGGGCCGUAACUGACGCUGAGGAGCGAAAGCAUGGGGAGCGAACAGG
rnacentral:rRNA from 1 species